rnacentral:rRNA from 1 species
GCCAGCAGCCAUAUCACCCUGCAACUGAAGCUAAGCAGGUGUGAGCCUGGUCAGUACCUGGAUGAGAGACCUCCUGUGAAAAACUAAGGUUGCUGCUGGAA